UUGUUGUUUGUAAUAAAGAAUGUCUGCC
rnacentral:sRNA from 1 species